AUUGAACGCUGGCGGCAGGCCUAACACAUGCAAGUCGAGCGGAUGAAGGGAGCUUGCUCCUGGCUUCAGCGGCGGACGGGCGAGUAAUGCCUAGGAAUCUGCCUGGUAGUGGGGGAUAACGUCCGGACACGGGCGCUAAUACCGCAUACGUCCAGAGGGAGAACGUGGGGGAUCUUCGGACCUCACGCUAUCAGCUGAGCCUAGGUCGGAUUAGCUAGUUGGUGGGGUAAAGGCCUACCAAGGCGACGAUCCGUAACUGGGCUGAGAGGAUGAUCAGUCACACUGGAACUGAGACACGGUCCAGACUCCUACGGGAGGCAGCAGUGGGGAAUAUUGGACAAUGGGCGAAAGCCUGAUCCAGCCAUGCCGCGUGUGUGAAGAAGGUCUUCGGAUUGUAAAGCACUUUAAGUUGGGAGGAAGGGCAGUAAGUUAAUACCUUGCUGUUUUGACGUUACCAACAGAAUAAGCACCGGCUAACUUCGUG
rnacentral:rRNA from 1 species